rnacentral:rRNA from 1 species
UGGGGAAUUUUACACAAUGGGCGAAAGCCUGAUGUAGCGACACCGCGUGAGCGAAGAAGCCUUUUGGGGUGUAAAGCUCUGUCAGCAGGGACGAAAAAAAUGACGGUACCUGCAGAGGAAGCAUCGGCUAACUACGUGCCAGCAGCCGCGGUAAGACGUAGGAUGCAAGCGUUGUCCGGAUUUAUUGGGCGUAAAGAGUUCGUAGGUGGUUUGUUAAGUCUGGUGUUAAAGACUGGGGCUCAACCUCGGAAAUGCAUUGGAUACUGGCAGACUUGAGUGUGGUAGAGGCAAGCGGAAUUCCAGGUGUAGCGGUGAAAUGCGUAGAUAUCUGGAAGAACACCGGUGGCGCAAGCGGCUUGCUGGGCCAUAACUGACACUGAGGAACGAAAGCUAGGGGAGCGAAUGG